rnacentral:rRNA from 1 species
UACGUAGGGGGCAAGCGUUGUCCGGAUUUAUUGGGCGUAAAGAGCUCGUAGGUGGUUCGGUAAGUCGGAUGUGAAAUCUCCAGGCUCAACCUGGAGGGGUCAUUCGAUACUGCCGUGACUAGAGGUCGGUAGGGGAGUGUGGAAUUCCUGGUGGAGCGGUGAAAUGCGCAGAUAUCAGGAGGAACACCGGUGGCGAAGGCGGUUCUCUGGGCAUGUCCUGACGCUGAGGAGCGAAAGUGUGGGGAGCGAACAGG